rnacentral:rRNA from 1 species
CAUAUGCCGGACACUCCUGGAGACAGGGGCUCCCUUUGGGCCGGUGUACAGGUGGUGCAUGGCUGUCGUCAGCUCGUGUCGUGAGAUGUCCCGCAACGAGCGCAACCCUUAUCCUGUGUUGCCAGCACGCCCUUCGGGGUGGUGGGGACUCACGGGAGACUGCCGGGGUCAACUCGGAGGAAGGUGGGGACGACGUCAAGUCAUCAUGCCCCUUAUGUCUUGGGCUGCACACGUGCUACAAUGGCC